CUACACAAUCAAGAAAUUUCAGGUUCCGAAGACAUAUUUGGGUAUGCUGGUGGGUUCUGUAUGUGCGCUGAUGGGUGUUCUGACUAUUGCACUGCCUGUUCCUGUUAUUGUCUCCAAU
rfam:Gongylonema pulchrum genome assembly, scaffold: GPTH_contig0057454